UACGGGGGGGGGCAAGCGUUGUUCGGAAUUACUGGGCGUAAAGGGCUCGUAGGCGGCCAACUAAGUCGGACGUGAAAUCCCCAGGCUCAACCUGGGAACUGCGUCCGAUACUGGAUGGCUUGAAUCCGGGAGAGGGAUGCAGAAUUCCAGGUGUAGCGGUGAAAUUCGUAGAUAUCGGGAGGAACACCAGUGGCGAAGGCGGCGACCUGGACAGAUAUUGACGCUGAGGUGCGAAAGCGUGGGGAGCAAACAGG
rnacentral:rRNA from 1 species